AUUGAACGCUGGCGGCAUGCCUUACACAUGCAAGUCGAACGGCAGCACGGGUGCUUGCCCCUGGUGGCGAGUGGCGAACGGGUGAGUAAUACAUCGGAACAUGUCCUGUAGUGGGGGAUAGCCCGGCGAAAGCCGGAUUAAUACCGCAUACGAUCUACGGAUUAAAGCGGGGGACCUUCGGGCCUCGCGCUAUCGGGUUGGCCGAUGGCUGAUUAGCUAGUUGGUGGGGUAAAGGCCUACCAAGGCGACGAUCAGUAGCUGGUCUGAGAGGACGACCAGCCACACUGGGACUGAGACACGGCCCAGACUCCUACGGGAGGCAGCAGUGGGGAAUUUUGGACAAUGGGCGAAAGCCUGAUCCAGCAAUGCCGCGUGUGUGAAGAAGGCCUUCGGGUUGUAAAGCACUUUUGUCCGGAAAGAAAUCCUUGGCCCUAAUACGGUCGGGGGAUGACGGUACCGGAAGAAUAAGCACCGGCUAACUACGUG
rnacentral:rRNA from 1 species